rnacentral:rRNA from 1 species
UACGUAGGGUGCGAGCGUUGUCCGGAAUUAUUGGGCGUAAAGGGCUCGUAGGCGGUUUGUCGCGUCGGGAGUGAAAUCCACUGGCUUAACUGGGGGCGUGCGGGCGAUACGGGCAGACUGGAGUACUGCAGGGGAGACUGGAAUUCCUGGUGUAGCGGUGAAAUGCGCAGAUAUCAGGAGGAACACCGGUGGCGAAGGCGGAUCUCUGGGCCGAUACUGACGCUGAGGAGCGAAAGCGUGGGGAGCGAACAGG